AAGACAGCGUGCAUCCCGAGCACGUCUGGACAUGAGGGGUGAGGUUAUGGCCCAUUGUGCCAUUGGAGAGGCUCCCCUCCCAGAGGAGUAAGAGGGCCAUUUGCUCUCCAGCAAGACUUCCUGAUGGAGAGGCAUCUUGGUGUGCCAGGGUGGCCCUGCACGUGCUCUUGGCCUUGGACUUGUACUCAAGGGUGAAAAGAAGGACGUGUCCCUGUAACCAGUUUCUGGUGAGACACCUGCAUGCGGCUUUGCAGUUUCAGGAUGUCCCUACAUCUGUCAGCGGAUCAACAGAGAAUCUAGGAACAUCAGCACAGAGUCCCAGUCACAGUGUAAAAUGUAAGCUGACAGCUUGGAAAGCAUCCAGAGGCGAGUGGCCAGGAGGGUGAAGGGUCUGGAAAUGACUGAAAAUGAGGAGUGGUUAAAAGAACUAGGGGUAUUAUCCAGAAGAGAAGAUGACACGGUAGCUGCUGCGAAUGGUGUAGUCCAAGCUAACUUGGACUAAAGUUGAUACUUUCUUCUCUGCACGGGCUUCCUGAGAACAAACCUGUGACUGGUGGAUGGAAGUUACGGGGAGGCUGAUUUCAGCUCAUGCUAAGAAUUUCAGAAGAUUUUUUUCAACCGAGUUAUAAGAAUAUAGAGUUGACUGCCCCGGGAAACAGGCAGUGGGUGACAAUUGCCAAGGACGGAGGAAAGACCAGGUGACUUCGGAGGUCUCUUUCAGUGUGGA